rnacentral:tRNA from 1 species
AGGAUUAUAGUUUAAAAAAAACAUUUGAUUUGCAUUCAAAUAAUAUUGAUUUAUAAUCAAUUUAUCUUA